GGACCCAGCGGGCAGCGUGGACCCAUCCCUCCCUCAGGGGCUCCCUGUCAGGUUGUGGGCACAACUGUGUGAACAGACACACAAUAAGACAGCCUGCCGGUGGUUGCGGGACACGCAGGAUACGGCCAGGUGUCUGGAGGGCGGGAGCGUUCCAGCAGGGUCCGCAGAGCAGCCGCUUGGCGCUGCUUGUGUGGGAGGCAGAGGCCUUUGCUGCCGUCUUGAUCUUGCCUCUGUCUCUGGCUAGGUGAGUUCUAAUCCCCGGCACCAAGGACCCCCGCCUCUCUGCAGACCAGGACCCGGAGUCGGCACGGGAGGCGUGGGACCUGCGUGCGGGCUGCGGCCUCGCUCCCUGCCAGGGGAGGGCCCUGCCUCUCCCUCCCUCUGCAGCUGACCUGUGCUCGCCGUGGCUCCUCACACCUGCUCUCCCCUCGCUCAUCUCCAGGUAUGGAUAGAUGCCGGGACCCAGAUUUUCUUUUCUUACGCCAUUGGCCUGGGGGCCCUCACGGCCCUGGGCAGCUACAAUCGCUUCAACAACAACUGCUACAAGGAUGCCAUCAUCCUCGCACUCAUCAACAGCGGGACCAGCUUCUUUGCUGGCUUCGUGGUCUUCUCCAUCCUGGGCUUCAUGGCCACAGAGCAGGGCGUGCACAUCUCCAAGGUGGCGGAAUCAGGGCCUGGCCUGGCUUUCAUCGCCUAUCCCCGGGCCGUCACGCUGAUGCCUGUGGCCCCGCUCUGGGCUGCUCUGUUCUUCUUCAUGCUGCUGCUGCUUGGCCUUGACAGCCAGUUUGUAGGUGUGGAAGUCUUCAUCACCGGCCUGCUGGACCUCCUCCCGGCCUCUUACUACUUCUGUUUCCAAAGAGAGAUCUCCGUGGCCCUCUGCUGCACCCUCUGCUUUGUCAUUGAUCUCUCCGUGGUGACCGACGUGAGUGGGGGCAGGGUGAGGGAUGCCCCUGGCCUCAGGCUGCCGGCUGCCACCUUCCCUGACCUGGCUCCAUCCCCAGGGCGGGAUGUAUGUCUUCCAGCUGUUUGACUACUACUCAGCCAGCGGCACCACCCUGCUCUGGCAGGCCUUCUGGGAGUGCGUGGUGAUCGCCUGGGUGUACGGAGCCGACCGCUUCAUGGACGACGUGGCCUGCGUGAUCGGGUACCGACCUUGCCCCUGGAUGAAAUGGUGCUGGUCUUUCUUCACCC